rnacentral:rRNA from 1 species
GACGGAGGGUGCUAGCGUUGUUCGGAAUGACUGGGCGUAAAGCGUGCGCAGGCGGUUUGCUAAGACAGGUGUGAAAUCCCCGGGCUUAACCUGGGAACUGCGCUUGUAACUGGCAAGCUAGAGUGUGGCAGAGGGGGGUGGAAUUCCAGGUGUAGCAGUGAAAUGCGUAGAGAUCUGGAGGAACACCGAUGGCGAAGGCAGCCCCCUGGGCUAACACUGACGCUCAUGCACGAAAGCGUGGGGAGCAAACAGG